CUGACACGUGACAAGCUGCUCCUGUUUUCACAGCAACUUCAACAUUGUGUACUAUGAUCAGAGGUAGGUAACCUUAGGCAGUCCAGAUGCUGUGAAUUACAUAUCCAAUAAUGCUGGCAAAGCAUUAUUGGAGGUGUAGUCCAAAACAUCUGGAAUACCAAAUGCGUAUGAAUGAAAAGUAUGGUGUGUGUGAAUGGUCAGUAACAAGGGUUGAAGCCUUGACGUGGCGUUACUGCUCACAUGUGUAUCCAUGUGCCAAUUCAACCAAUGUGAGUCACCAUAAUCCUUAUGAGGUAACUAUAAAUACUGUGACUGUGGAGAAUUAAACGCCCGUAUCACCCAAACACUGCUCACACUGUGCCCGUAUCUCCUAAACACUGCUUAUACUGUGACCGUAUCACCUAAACACUGAUUAUACUGUGACCGUAUCACAAAUAUUGCCUUAUACUGUGACCGUACCAUCUAAACACUGCUUAUACUGUGACCGUAUCACAAACAUUGCCUUAUACUGUGACCGUACCAUCUAAACACUGCUUAUACUGUGACCGUAUCUCCUAAACACUGCUUAUACUGUAAUUGUAUCACAUAAACACUGCUUAUAUUGUGACCGUAUCGCCUAUACACUGCUUACACUGUGACCGUAUCACCUAAACACUGCUUAUAUUGUGACUGUAUCACAUAAACAUUGCCUUAUACUGUGACCGUAUCAUAUAAAAAUUGCCUUAUACUGUGACCGUAUCGCCUAUACACUGCUUACACUGUGACCGUGCCACCUACACACUGCUUACACUGUGACCGUGCCACCUACACACUGCUUACACUGUGACCGUGCCACCUACACACUGCUUACACUGUGAAUGUUGUUAUUUUUUUUCAAGUUAGUUUUAGUGUUUGCAGUUUCAUUAAGUUAUUAACCACUAUCCUCAAUCUUCUGUUCUGAGUUUUCUUAGAUUUGUGGGAAAAACAAGGCGAUCCUCUCAAUUUUACACUCCUUUAUUGGUUCCAGUGCCAGAGAAAAAACUCACCACCAUUAACCUCGACCUGCUGAAACAGAAGAGAUUACCUUCUUCUACAGAAAACUUCCAUAUGACUGCUUCGGAACACAUGCUGCAGACAUGACGUAACCUUCAUUUUCCAGUGAUUAAGAAUCCUGGACGGCCCAGAUAGAGAGAGACUAUUAUAUUAUAAAGAUACUGCCUUCCUAAUGCCAUACAGCCUUUCUGUACAGGUGAUUGAACUUUCUCCAUGUUGGAUACGACACUCUGCUUUUUUAAGCCAGUUUCCGC